rnacentral:rRNA from 1 species
GCAAAACGCGAAGAACCUUACCACCUUUUGACAUGCCUGGACCGCCACGGAGACGUGGCUUUCCCUUCGGGGACUAGGACACAGGUGCUGCAUGGCUGUCGUCAGCUCGUGUCGUGAGAUGUUGGGUUAAGUCCCGCAACGAGCGCAACCCUCGCCAUUAGUUGCCAUCAUUCAGUUGGGAACUCUAAUGGGACUGCCGGUGCUAAGCCGGAGGAAGGUGGGGAUGACGUCAAGUCCUCAUGGCCCUUACAGGGUGGGCUACACACGUGCUACAAUGGCGACUACAGAGGGUUAAUCCUUAAAAGUCGUCUCAGUUCGGAUUGUCCUCUGCAACUCGAGGGCAUGAAGUCGGAAUCGCUAGUAAUCGCGAAUCAGAAUGUCGCGGUGAAUACGUUCCCGGGUCUUGUACACACCG